UGGGGAAUAUUGCACAAUGGGCGCAAGCCUGAUGCAGCCAUGCCGCGUGUAUGAAGAAGGCCUUCGGGUUGUAAAGUACUUUCAGCGGGGAGGAAGGUGUUGUGGUUAAUAACCGCAGCAAUUGACGUUACCCGCAGAAGAAGCACCGGCUAACUCCGUGCCAGCAGCCGCGGUAAUACGGAGGGUGCAAGCGUUAAUCGGAAUUACUGGGCGUAAAGCGCACGCAGGCGGUCUGUCAAGUCGGAUGUGAAAUCCCCGGGCUCAACCUGGGAACUGCAUACGAAACUGGCAGGCUAGAGUCGUGUAGAGGGGGGUAGAAUUCCAGGUGUAGCGGUGAAAUGCGUAGAGAUCUGGAGGAAUACCGGUGGCGAAGGCGGCCCCCUGGACAAAGACUGACGCUCAGGUGCGAAAGCGUGGGGAGCAAACAGG
rnacentral:rRNA from 1 species